rnacentral:rRNA from 1 species
CACCUCUUCCCAUUCCGAACAGAGAAGUUAAGCCCGCCUGCGCCGAUGGUACUGCAAUGCAAUGCGGGAGAGUAGGAGGCCGCCCCCU